CGUAGGUAGAAGGGGGGAUCGCAAGACCUCUCGCUAUUGGAGCGGCCGAUGUCAGAUUAGGUAGUUGGUAGGGUAAAAGCCUACCAAGCCUAUGAUCUGUAGCUGGUCUGAGAGGACGACCAGCCACACUGGGACUGAGACACGGCCCAGACUCCUACGGGAGGCAGCAGUGGGGAAUUUUGGACAGUGGGCGCAAGCCUGAUCCAGCCAUGCCGCGUGCGGGAAGAAGGCCUUCGGGUUGUAAACCGCUUUUGUCAGGGAAGAAAAGCGCCAGGUUAAUACCUUGGCGUCAUGACGGUACCUGAAGAAUAAGCACCGGCUAACUACGUG
rnacentral:rRNA from 1 species